GAGGGUAUAGCUCAAGCGGUAGAGUGCAUGCUUAGCAUGCACAAAGUCCUGGGUUCAAUUCCCAGUGCCUCCA
rnacentral:tRNA from 1 species